UACGUAGGCAGCGAGCGUUGUUCGGAAUUACUGGGCGUAAAGCGUGCGUAGGCGGUGCCUCAAGUUUGGUGUGAAAUCUCCCGGCUCAACCGGGAGGGUGCGCCGAAAACUGAGGUGCUCGAGUGUGGGAGAGGUAAGCGGAAUUCCUGGUGUAGCGGUGAAAUGCGUAGAUAAUCAGGAGGAACACCGGCGGUGUAGACGGCUUACUGGACCAUAACUGACGCUGAGGCACGAAAGUGUGGGGAGCAAACAG
rnacentral:rRNA from 1 species